GGGAGGAGCAGAGGGAUAGGGACAAGCACACUCUCCACUGACCACAGAGCGCAUGAUGCUGGGCUUGCUCCCAGGACCCUGAGAUCACGACCUGAGCCAAAACCAAGAGUCAGAUGCCCAACCGACUGAGCC